AGAGCGAACGCUGGCGGCAGGCCUAACACAUGCAAGUCGAGCGCGUGUAGCAAUACACGAGCGGCAGACGGGAGAGUAACACGUGAGAACGCGCCCUUUGGUUCGGAAUAACUCAGGGAAACUUGAGCUAAUACCGGAUAAGCCCUUACGGGGAAAGAUUUAUCGCCAAAGGAACGGCCCGCGUCCGAUUAGCUAGUUGGUGAGGUAACGGCUCACCAAGGCGACGAUCGGUAGCUGGUCUAAGAGGAUGAUCAGCCUCACUGGGACUGAGACACGGCCCAGACUCCUACGGGAGGCAGCAGUGGGGAAUAUUGGACAAUGGGCGCAAGCCUGAUCCAGCCAUGCCGCGUGGAUGAUGAAGGCCUUAGGGUUGUAAAGUCCUUUUAACGGGGAAGAUAAUGACGGUACCCGUAGAAUAAGCCCGGCUAACUUCGUGCCAGCAGCCGC
rnacentral:rRNA from 1 species